CUUGCUAGUGAAGAUUGACUCAGCUCCUAGUGUCAUCACUGUGGUUUAGCCACCAGGAGGGCCGAAUUGUGAAUGGAUUUGCUUGGGUAUUAUGUGUUGAAAGGCACUAUUAAGCAGAUCCUAGAAGAGGGACUCGCUGCUGCAGGAGCUGAGCCGUGACUGACGCCGGGUGCUUUGUGAGAGAGGAGUCACAGAAGGGAAACUGCCCUGCAGCUGCAGCUGGGAUAGGAGCGCAAGACGUGGGAGGAAGAGCCCCGCAGGCACCGAGGUCAAAGCGGCAGGAGGGCAGGAGGCACUCCGGGAGCACGGCACCAGCUCCAUGCAGCGCAGGAGAUGCGCACGGAGACGGGGGCUGACCCCACGCAGCCCGCGGGCACAGCUCGGAUCAGAGCUGUAUGAGGCCUCGGAGGGGCUGCGGUGAGGAGCUGCCUUGGGGCAGUGCUGGGCGAGCGGGUGGGAAGCCCGUUCGGGGGAAGGACCCCACAUGGAGUAGGGGCAGAGCAACCAUAAAGGAGUGGAAGAUGAAGAAAUACUACCGGCUGUCUGCAGAGUCCAUUCCCUGUUCCCGUGUACUGCUUAGGAGAGGAGUUAGAAGUAGCUGGAUGGAGGAAGGUGUUUUGUUUUUAGUUUCUUUUCUAAUCUGUUAGUAGCAGGCACUAAAUUAUAUUAAACUCUCUAUGCUGAGACUAUUUGGUCUGUGAUGGUAAUUGGAGAGCAAUCUCCCUGUCUUUAUCUAUCUCAACCCUUGAACACUUUUUCAUCAUGUCUUAUCUCCCUUUGAGUUGAGGAGGGGGAGUGAGAGGGCAGUGAGGUAGAAUUCAACCUGCCACCAGUGUGAAACCACCACCCUAGGCUGAAGUGUCAACCAAGUGUCAUUGAUGAAGAAAGGACAA